AUUGAUGAAAAAGUCCUUGUUCCACUGGCAGAUUGUCACAUAACAUGGAAAAAGUGUCUUGUUUUUUCAAUGAUGCACAAAAAUAUUAUAAUAACGCUGCCAUCAGCAUAAAAGGAUGCCAAAAUCUAAAAAAUAAUCAGGACAAAUGUAAAUGCCAUGCUUUUUCACUACAAAAACACAAAACACUUUAAAUGAGACAACACUAACUUACAAGGAACAUAAAGGCAGGGGAGCUUGUUUUAAGCCAAUAUAACAACCGUCUUUGAACAUUAUAUAAACAUAUAUUUCUGAAUACUAACCAAAACACUUUUCUUCUCCAGCAGCAGUACAGAGGUAAAACCAGCUGACCAAACGGACUGGAGCUCCAUUUAGGUUGCUAGGCUGCAGACAAGUUGGGCAACAGUGACGCAGAACCCGGUCUGGAAAAAUCAGAUGAUGCAACUGCAACAUUUUAUAGACGCCGUUUGGUUAAAAAUAAGAGGAAGUUUGUUAUCAGGGGUCCUUGGUUUGCUGACGGUGCAUCAAUGUACAUCAUGUCCCAGACUAAUCAUAACAUGGUUAAAUAAUUAACAUGCAAUAAAAAGGAGUCUCUGUUUGAUGUCUGACCAAUU